GGGGAACGUCACGAGCGCUCCCUGGUCCUCGUAGACCGCUUUCCUCGAUUCCCCAACACCUAUACUAAUUUUCAUUCCGCCAGUUAAGUUUGGUGAUUGCCCAGCAAAGGCUGUUCGUAGAAUUCUUUUGAGAGUUCCAAGGAGAUUUGAUUUCUUCCAUUCUCUUGUUAUGUUUAUUUCGGAGCGAAGUUCCAUGAGUGAGCCGGUUUGGUGACACUCGAGUCAGGUAUAUUGCUCCUAAGAAUGAGUAUCCACCGCUGUAGCGGAAUCCGUUCUCCAUACUUAGGUGGGCAUAGUGUGUGGGAACAUUUCCUUCUUGUCUGUGUUAUUCAGCCCACCUAAAAAUCUAAUCGUCGUGAUAAACUAGAGCCCCAAAUUACAGCAAAUGGUCAAGGCCUACGAUAACCAUGUUAAGCCCUGCACAAGCAGUAUUCUAGUAGGAUGCUUUGCAAAACAAAUAUAUCUGAGUAUAUAUAGCCUCUUGGGUGCAUAAUUUGUUGUUGUUGUUGUUGUUGUUGUUGUUGUUUUUCAGCUGUAGAAUAGCUGAAAAUUGUGGUACCAGUAUAGGAGACCGGGUGUGGUAGCCAAACUUUUAGCUCCAAUACUCAGAUGCGAGUGGAUCUCUGUGAGUUAGAGAGUGGACACCAGGACAACCAGGGUACAUAAAGAGACCUUGUUUCCAAAACCGAUGGUGGUGAUGGUGAUGAUGACUGGGGCUCACAGGACGAGUAUCAGGGAGCUCAAUGUAUGCUAAUAAAAUUUUCCAGAUAUUGAAUUGAAAAAUUGAGUUUAGUCACUAAUGCCUGACUUUUUUCUUUUAAGAUUCCAUUUUUGUUGAAAUAUUUUAAAAACUGCCCUUUCACAUUUUUAAACUAUUGUAGUUCAGGGGUCAGGCUCGGCAGUUAAGAGCACUUGCUGCUCUUCCAGAAGUCCCUUGUUCAAUUCCCAGCACCUACAUGGUGGCUCACAAUCUUGUGUAAUUCCAGUUUCAAGGGAUCUGACCUCUUUCUUCUGGUCUCCAAAGACACCAGGCACACAUGUGGUGUGCAGGCAUACCUACAAGCAAAACACCCAUACAAAUAU
rnacentral:lncRNA from 1 species